AAGUCGUAACAAGGUCUCCGUUGGUGAACCAGCGGAGGGAUCAUUACUGAGUUACCGCUCUAUAACCCUUUGUGAACAUACCUAACCGUUGCUUCGGCGGGCAGGGGAAGCCUCUCGCGGGCCUCCCCUCCCGGCGCCGGCCCCCACCACGGGGACGGGGCGCCCGCCGGAGGAAACCAAACUCUACUUACACGACGUCUCUUCUGAGUGGCACAAGCAAAUAAUUAAAACUUUUAACAACGGAUCUCUUGGUUCUGGCAUCGAUGAAGAACGCAGCGAAAUGCGAUAAGUAAUGUGAAUUGCAGAAUUCAGUGAAUCAUCGAAUCUUUGAACGCACAUUGCGCUCGCCAGCAUUCUGGCGAGCAUGCCUGUUCGAGCGUCAUUUCAACCCUCAAGCACCGCUUGGUUUUGGGGCCCCACGGCACACGUGGGCCCUUCAAGGUAGUGGCGGACCCUCCCGGAGCCUCCUUUGCGUAGUAACUAACGUCUCGCACUGGGAUUCGGAGGGACUCUUGCCGUAAAACCCCCAAAUUUUUUGCAGGUUGACCUCGGAUCAGGUAGGAAUACCCGCUGAACUUAA
rnacentral:rRNA from 1 species